GCCCCUAUGGACAAGUGGUAUGUCGCCCAGAUAUGUUGUCAGACAAACAUUUACACUUUGGGAGGUGAGGGUUCGAUUCCCUCUAAGUGCA